UACAAGGUGGCAGAAUUAAUGCCUGGGCUUUAAGCGCCUAUCAUGACUACACAGUCCCUUGUG
rnacentral:tRNA from 1 species